rnacentral:rRNA from 1 species
ACGGGAGGCAGCAGUAGGGAAUAUUGCACAAUGGGGGGAACCAUGAUGCAGCAACGCCACGUGUGGGAAGAAGCAUUUCGGUGUGUAAACCACUGUCGUGAGGGAAUAAUGCUUGGUCUCGGCCAAGUUGAAUGUACCUCGAAAGGAAGCACCGGCAAACUUCGUGCCAGCAGCCGCGGUAAUACGAGGGGUGCAAGCGUUGUUCGGAAUCACUGGGCGUAAAGGGAGCGUAGGCGGAGAUGCAAGCAGUCUGUACAAUACCGGGGCCCAACCCCGGACUUGCAGACUGGACUGUGUCUCUUGGAUAGUUCAGGGGCAGGCGGAAUUCCUGGUGUAGCGGUGGAAUGCGUAGAGAUCAGGAAGAACACCGAUGGCGAAGGCAGCCUGCUGGGGACUUAUCGACGCUGAGGCUAGAAAGUGCGGGUAGCAAACAGGAUUAGAUACCCUGGUA